rnacentral:misc_RNA from 1 species
ACGGGUGAAUCAUCGAAUCUUUGAACGCACAUUGCGCCCGCCAGUAUUCUGGCGGGCAUGCCUGUUCGAGCGUCAUUUCAACCCUCAAGCCCCCGGGCUUGGUGUUGGAGAUCGGCGUGCCCCCCCGGGGCGCGCCGGCUCCCAAAUAUAGUGGCGGUCUCGCUGUAGCUUCCUCUGCGUAGUAGCACACCUCGCACUGGAAAACAGCGUGGCCACGCCGUUAAACCCCCCACUUCUGAAAGGUUGACCUCGGAUCAGGUAGGAAUACCCGCUGAACUUAAGCAUAUCAAUAAGCGGAGG